GCAGUCGUGGCCGAGUGUUUAAGGCGAUGGACUCGAAAUCCAUUGGGGUCUCCCCGCACAUGUUCGAAUCCUGUCGGCUGCG
rnacentral:tRNA from 1 species